AGCAGCGUGGCUCAGUGGCAAGAGCCCGGGCUUGGGAGUCAGAGGUCACGGGUUCGAAUCCCGUGCUCUGCCA
rnacentral:tRNA from 1 species